rnacentral:rRNA from 1 species
AACAAACGCUGGCGGCGUGCCUAAUACAUGCAAGUCGAACGAGGUAGCAAUACCUAGUGGCGCACGGGUGAGUAACGCGUGGAUAAUCUGCCUUUGAGUGGGGGAUAACUAGUCGAAAGAUUAGCUAAUACCGCAUAAGACCACAGGAACUGAGGUUGUAGGGGUUAAAGGUUUUUCGCUCAUAGAUGAGUCCGCGUGAGAUUAGCUAGUUGGUGAGGUAACGGCUCACCAAGGCGACGAUCUCUAACUGGUCUGAGAGGAUGAUCAGUCACACUGGAACUGAGACACGGUCCAUACUCCUACAGGAGGCAGCAGUAGUGAAUAUUGCACAAUGGAAGAAACUCUGAUGCAGCGACGCCGCGUGAGGGAUGAAGGCUUUCGGGUCGUAAAGCUCUGUCGCAGGGGAAUAACACAAUGAAUGUACCCUGUAAGAAUGGAUCGGCUAACUUCGUGCCAGCCGCCGCAGUAA